AUUUGGAACUUUAUUAUAUUGGUUUAUCUUUUGAUGAACUGUAUGAUGGGGUUUCUUCCUACUAGAGUUCGAUUCUGUUCUUAAUUGAAUGGAGUAGCUAUCUUUCGGGGUAGUCAGUUGGUUAUUAUGUCUCCAUUAAUGAGCAGAGAGGGGUAAAACCUUCAAAGUGAGUUUUGUGGGUCAAGAUAUAGUGAUUAAUUGGAGUUCUAGUUCGUUUACUUUGAGAAAAUUAGAGUGUUUAAAGCAGCCUCUUGGGGCACUGAAUACAUUAGCAUGGGAUAAUAAAAUAGGAUCUUCACAAUAUAUUUUAUUGGUUUAAAUUGGAUAUGAAGAUAAUGAUUAAUAGGGACAGUUGGGGGUAUUCAUAUUGGGUGGUUAGCGGUGAAAUGCUCGGAUCCAUUCAAGAUGAACUAAAGCGAAAGCAUUACCAAGGAUGUUUUCAUUAAUCAAGAACGAAAGUUAAGGGAUCGAAGACGAUUAGAUACCGUCGUAGUCUUAACUAUAAACUAUGCCGACCAGGGAUA
rnacentral:rRNA from 1 species